GAAUGAGUUGGCGAACUAGUUUGGUUGCUUUAUUUGGUGACUUUUUGGCUCUUAUCAUGGCUCCUAGAUGAAAGUUAGAGUCUUCAGAUGCUAGUGCUUCGAAGAAAAGGAAAGCCAUAACGAUGGAAGUGAAAUUAGACAUCGUAAACAGAUCAGAAGGAAUGAAGGUUUUACGUUGCCAUUGUUAUGUUCCAUGUGUUUUGCGGGCGGUGCCCCAAGAGGUGGAAACACCUUCCAGUCACCGGCAGGACCUGCCCUGUGCCCUUAGAAAUCCAGAGGCUCUUCUACGGUUCCUGGCAGUUCAUUCAAAUGCACUUAGAAGCGAUGAGUUCUUGUGCUUUUUGUAAAUGUUAUGUGCCUUGUGAUUUUUCUCUGGAUAUUUUCAACCUUCUGCACUGUGUUUUUGACCUUGCUUUUGGAGUCUGUAAUGAGACUUGUUUGGUUUGGAUUGCUUUCAUGUCACAGACAAUUCCAUUUUGCUCUAUGGAGCAUAACUGUGAUUGGAAUACUUUUUGUGAAGAAUAAAUCUUUUCUAUUUAUUA